CCGAAGAGAAAACGCGUGAUUUUCAGUUAGAUGGGGGAUUCUCGAAGAGAAAACGCGUGAUUUUCGCUUAAAUGGGGGAUUCUCAAAGAGAAAAUGCGUGAUUUUCACUUAAAUGGGGGAUUUGCGAAGAGAAAACGCGUGAUUUUCGCUUAAAUGGGGGAUUUGCGAAGAGAAAACGUGUGAUUUUCGCUUAAAUGGGGGAUUCUCGAAGAGAAAACGCGUGAUUUUUGGGUUAAAUGGGGGAUUUGCG
rnacentral:lncRNA from 1 species